AAAAAAAACACCCCGACGACGUCCCGCCGUUUCUAUACGGCGAUAGAACCGCGGACAGGACCCGGGGUGUAACAUCACGCGCGGCGAAAAUCCCGGGACGGGUUUCCGUCAUAAUGUACGCGAAACGAUGGUCGGUCGCGUCGUUUCCCAUUACGUAGCAAAUAAUAUUAUUAUGACAACGCGUUUGUUUAGAAAUGUAUUUUAAUUUCUCGUCUGCAAAUAACAUUGUAUUGUAAUAUUGCGUUUUUAUAGGUUUAUCGAAAGUUGUCGAUUUAACCGUCGUGUAUCGGAUUUUUCAACGGCAUUUUUCGUUUUCUUUUACGCGCAUUAUUCGUUCGAUCAGUCCGGUGUGCGCGCCCGCGGGGCGCGGCACUUUCCUUUCGCGCGUAGGCGGAAUCACAGAAAAUAAAAAAAAACAGUUUAAUCGAGCGCGCUCGAUCGCUUUUCAGACGCUUUUUCGACCGGUCUUUAAUAUCCCACGUGAUUUCUCAUUAGCUCGUCACCGUCCGCGAACAGUACCUGUCAGACGCCACGCUAAUAACGCGUCACAGUUCGGGCGUCCGACGACCGGAGACGUUAUUGCGAGAAGAAAAGACGCGCACCGCGGCAUUCCGG